rnacentral:rRNA from 1 species
UCACACAUGCAAGUCGAGCGGUAACAGAGAGAAGCUUGCUUCUUUGCUGACGAGUGGCGCACGGGUGAGUAAUAUAUAGAUAAUGUGCCUCUUAGUCUGGGAUAGCCAUUGGAAACGAUGAUUAAUACUGGAUACUCCUUCUUACCAUAAGGUAAGUUGGGAAAGUUUUUCGCUAAGAGAUCGGUCUAUAUCCCAUCAGCUUGUUGGUAGUGUAAGAGACUACCAAGGCAAUGACGGGUAGCGGGUUUGAGAGGAUGAUCCGCCACACUGGUACUGAGACACGGACCAGACUCCUACGGGAGGCAGCAGUGAGGAAUAUUGCACAAUGGGGGAAACCCUGAUGCAGCAACGCCGCGUGGAGGAUGACGCAUUUCGGUGUGUAAACUCCUUUUAUAUGUCAAGAAAAUGACGGUAGCAUAUGAAUAAGCACCGGC